rnacentral:rRNA from 1 species
UGGGGAAUCUUCCGCAAUGGGCGAAAGCCUGACGGAGCAACGCCGCGUGAGUGAUGACGGCCUUCGGGUUGUAAAACUCUGUGAUCCGGGACGAAAAGGCAGAGUGCGAAGAACAAACUGCAUUGACGGUACCGGAAAAGCAAGCCACGGCUAACUACGUGCCAGCAGCCGCGGUAAUACGUAGGUGGCAAGUGUUGUCCGGAAUUAUUGGGCGUAAAGCGCGCGCAGGCGGCUUCCCAAGUCCCUCUUAAAAGUGCGGGGCUUAACCCCGUGAUGGGAAGGAGACUGGGAAGCUGGAGUAUCGGAGAGGAAAGUGGAAUUCCUAGUGUAGCGGUGAAAUGCGUAGAGAUUAGGAAGAACACCGGUGGCGAAGGCGACUUUCUGGACGAAAACUGACGCUGAGGCGCGAAAGCGUGGGGAGCAAACAGGAUUAGAUACCCUGGUAGUCCACGCCGUAAACGAUGGAUACUAGGUGUAGGAGGUAUCGACCCCUCCUGUGCCGGAGUUAACGCAAUAAGUAUCCCGCCUGGGAAGUACGAUCGCAAGAUUA